rnacentral:rRNA from 1 species
AGCGGCGGACGGGUGAGUAACGCGUGGGUAACCUGCCUCAUACAGGGGGAUAACAGUUAGAAACGACUGCUAAUACCGCAUAAGACCACAGCACCGCAUGGUGCGGGGGUAAAAACUCCGGUGGUAUGAGAUGGACCCGCGUCUGAUUAGCUAGUUGGUAAGGUAACGGCUUACCAAGGCGACGAUCAGUAGCCGACCUGAGAGGGUGACCGGCCACAUUGGGACUGAGACACGGCCCAA